AUGUUCCCUCUGCAGCUUCUCUCUUCUCCCUUUCGCUCCCGUCUCCUCCCCCUCUCUCAGACUUUUCUUGUGCCCAUCCUUUCUUCUCGUCCAAUGGCAGGCCUCGUUCCAUCUUGUACCUGCCUUCACCUGUAUAAUGAGGUUCCACUGGGGAAUCUCCAUCAAGGACGCUUCAGAAGCUUGCAGUUUCAUUUCUGUGAAGAAACAUUGGAAAAGGAACAGAGCUGCGGAGAUGAGCGUUCCUACAAUGUGAUCCCAAGCUUCCAGUCAACAGCACUCCUCCCACGAGGUGAGGGCUGGGAAUCAUCAAUAAUUGGCUCGAUAAAGGUAGACCAAGACUUCUCCAUGGAAGCUGGAGCUGAGACUGACGCCAGGUUUUCCUCAAGCAUGUAACAUUUGAGAAUCGUGUGGAUGCCAGAACAAAAUGGGGGGAAGCCUUACUUGAGAAGCCAUUGCUGUCGCUGUACGGCCACCGUGGCUGGAUCUAUCACAGCCUCGUACAAACCUGAGUUAACUGUUGCAAGUGAACUGCUCACUGGAGUGCCAAAGUCUGGACUACCGAAAAGUACAUACGGAGAGCAGACGUGAACAGUACAAGCAGAAGAGUGCUUACCAGAAGUGUGGUCAGGGAACUCCAACCUGAGACGGCCAGAAAAGGAAAACGACUCCUCCUCCCCACUAUUGCCAGGGAUCAAGGAUACUGUGGAAGCCUGCGCAGUUCUCUGCCAGCGCACGCACCUCGGUCCUCCGCGGGGGCUGAGCCACAGAAACCUCUCUGCCUGAAGAAACUUCGAAACCUAAUCCACUAAAGACAAGACGUGACUUUCUGGAGGGUGGAGCAGGGGGAUUCUGGCCGUGGAUUUCUGCCAGGAAGUAGUAUAUUCCCACCGGAACCCAAUCUAGAAGGACACACUAACAUGUCAGAGUUAUUGAAACAAACCAUCCUCCCACACAUAUAAAGACUUAUAGGAAUAAAAAUCCAGGAGAGUGGGAACCAUGUCACCUCCCACCCCCUGUGAGGAAAAAUACUGAAAGUGUAAGUCCCUCGGUUUCUUUUUAUUCCCAGAAAGGUGGGAGGUUGUGGCUGGAGACUGGGACACUGGAAGAAUUUCAGAUUUAUUUCUGCCUAAUUCUCAUGCCUAUCUCUAAUACCCAAAAAGAUAACACCAGUGUCAUCCAGACCAAGGUCUCUGGUUGCAUUCCAAGUGAAUAAUCUUUAAUAAGAAAUUUAAUGCCUCCGAGGGUUCCUUUCUUCAGCUUUAAAACUAGAGGUGAUAAAAUGCCAUCAGUUGGUGGUCGUGUGAAAAAUCAAUGGAACUGGUAAGUGUGUGACACCAAUAUUAAAGAAUAUAUAACAUGUAGUAUAACAUAGCUUGGUCCACUAUAUACUCGCUAUGUUUACAUUAUUAUUGUAUGGAGAUAGCUACCAUUGGCUUGUACAUAAUAAAGGGAAGUCUUUUUUUUUUUUUCAGAGCUGGGGACCAAACCCAGGGCCUUGUGGUUGCUAAGCAAGCGCUCUACCACUGAGCUAAAUCCCCAACCCCAUAAAGGGAAGUCUUAAUGGAAGCCUGAGAGCAAGCCUCAAUGUGUCAUUCAUAGUGUAUCCUUAAGAUUGAUCUGGGAACCUGGCACAUGAGAGAGAGAGUCAAAGAAAGAAUGCACAACCAAAAUACCUGCUGCCGUCUAUUUAAUGGUUCUCCAACCUCAGUAUAUUUGGGGAAAGAAUUUCUUCCGAACACAUACUUUGGAUUUAGUCUUAUGUGUAUGCAAGCCUGCUUCUGUGCCCGACCUCAUUCUAUCAAGGCACACUCCCUUUUCAGCACUAUGCUAGAAACUUGAGAUACAUUGUUGCAAAAAUGGGCAAACUCAGCCAUGGGCAGGAGCGAUGGCUCAGUGGUUAAGAGCACUGACUGCUCUUCCAAAGGUCCUGAGUUCAAAUCCCAGAAGCUACAUGAUGGCUCUCAACCAUCUGUAAUGAGAUCUGAUGCCCUCUUCUGGUGUGUCUGAAGGCGCAGCUACAGUGUACUCAUAUAUAAUGUCUUUUUAAAAAAUGGGCAAAGUCUCUGCUCUCGGAGUUUACAUAAAUAGGAGAACGUAAAUUGGAGAAUAUGAUUUAAUAAAUAUAAAUAAACCUUCAAGGAGAGCCCUCAAACUUUGGAACUGUUUUGCAGAAACCUUUUUUUUUUUUUAAAGACAAGGACUCUCAGUUGGACCAGAGACUUACAACUCAGCUAGGCUGACUGGACAAUAAGCUACAGACAUCCUCCCAUCUCUGCUUCCUCAGCACCGGGAUUCUAAGUAGGCACCAUCAUGCCCAGACUUUUAUAUGGGUUUUGGGGACUGAAACUCUGCUCCUUAUGCAAGAGCUAAGAUGAUGACAAGGUGCCUGGUGCUUGCUGUGGGUGUCCAUGCUUGCUGGUAACCCUCGCAUCUGGGAGGCUGAGGCAGAGGGUCACAAGUUCAAGACCACUCUGAGACAAAGUGUGAGACCCUGACUCAAAGAAUAAACAAAACAAAACAAUGGGGUGAGAGAGAAGGAGUUGAGGAGAGAGAGGGGAAGGGAAGGAGUGAAAAGACUAGACCAGAGAAGUUAAGGAAAUUACUCCUACUGUGGGAAGACUGAGCUUAGUUAACAUAAUAAACGGACAGAGGAAGCCUAGUGGGCAGGGAGAAGAGCACGGAGAAGGGUCUGUAGGGAGCAGCCAAUCACAGAUGGCUUUAUGGUCAGAGGGGAGAAAUGCAGCAUGCGUUGUUCUGGAUAAAGCUGGAAGGAAAGACUGUUCAGGGCCUGCAGAGCCCGGCGCUUCCACUCCUUCGAGCACAGGUGACCAUGUGGAACUAUGGGUGUCAUUUUUCAUGAUAAAGGUUCUGGUCUUAGGAGAAGUGCAGCUAGGACCUCCCUCAUUUUGCUCACUCUGCUUCUCUGUGUUAUUAGUAUAGGAUGGCUAUGGGGAGCAGGGUUUCCCUAAUCUUUGGAGAAAUGGAGGGGAAAGACAGCACAGUUUCUAAGCACAGAAAAGCACUGAAUGAACAGCGAGUGCUGUUGUUCUUCAAGUCUUUCAGCCGGAACCCAGCUCAGCCAGUAAACCAAACUGAGCUCUGCUCGCAGCCACGCCGAUUCGGUAACUGCUCUUUGUCGGGAUUUUAGUUGUUUUUUUCCUAACCUAUCCCAAGGUGUGUUCUGUGAAAGAAAAAAUAUUAUUUGUGUGAGUGGGUGCACACGUGGACGAUGCGGAAGCCAGAAGACAACCUUCUGGUUAUCCCUCCUCCCUGAGGAUUAAACCCGGACUCCAGGCUUGCACCGGAAGUACUUUUACCCACCGAGUAAUUUCAUCAGAUCAUGUUCUUCAGCAGUGUUUAUCCUACUUCAGUGAAAGUAGGAAGUUUAUGCGCACAAGAGCACGCACGUCCAGUUCUUCAAGAUCAUGUCUUUCAUCACAGUGACCGACCAAGAAUUCUAGGUUGGCUGACUGAAAACCGGUGAGAUCCCCUUGAACAGCCCACCUCACUUUAAUAAAAAAUUAAAUAAAUAAAUAGCCCACACCACUUAACCUUUUCAUUCAUUUAACAAGUGUUAUACAGCACUUAAAAUACGCUGUAGACUUUGCUGGUUCGUGACAUACAUAAAGAUAAGUAAAUCACAGUGUUUGGCCUGGAAGUGCUCCUGAGACAAACCAUUGCAGCCUCUUGUCUUGUAGCAGCGCUCGAACCCAGAGUAAGAGUUUUGUGGGAGCCCAGAGGAGAGUAAGUUUCCCUGGGGAAGUGGGAUGAGGGGGCUUCCCACAGAAGGCACCGUCGGCAGCGUGGCUUUGAGCACUGAACUGCAGCACUCCCAACCAAAAGGUGUGUUGUCAGCUUGGGAACAGCGGAAGCAAAGCUGUGCUAGAGUGCGUUGGAAAUCCUGUCUAGGGAGAUGAGCCAGGAAGAGUAGACAGGCUUUAUGGCCUUCAUAA
rnacentral:lncRNA from 1 species